CGAGUGAGCGGCAGAGCUCAAUUUGAAUCUGGUACCUUCGGUGGCGAGUUGUAAUUUGAAGGUAAUUUUCUGGUGCUGGCCCUUGUCUAUGUUCCUUGGAACAGGACGUCAUAGAGGGUGAGAAUCCCGUCUGAUGGGGGGUGCAGUGCUUUGUAGAUUUCUCCCGAAAAGUCGAGUUGUUUGGGAAUA
rnacentral:rRNA from 1 species